rnacentral:rRNA from 1 species
AGUGAACGCUGGCGGUAGGCCUAACACAUGCAAGUCGAACGGCAGCACAGUAAGAGCUUGCUCUUACGGGUGGCGAGUGGCGGACGGGUGAGGAAUACAUCGGAAUCUACUUUUUCGUGGGGGAUAACGUAGGGAAACUUACGCUAAUACCGCAUACGACCUACGGGUGAAAGCAGGGGAUCUUCGGACCUUGCGCGAUUGAAUGAGCCGAUGUCGGGUUAGCUAGUUGGCGGGGUAAAGGCCCACCAAGGCGACGAUCCGUAGCUGGUCUGAGAGGAUGAUCAGCCACACUGGAACCGAGACACGGUCCCGACUCCUAAGGGAGGCAGCAGUGGGGAAUAUUGGACAAUGGGCGGAAGCCUGAUCCAGCCAUACCGCGUGGGUGAAGAAGGCCUUCGGGUUGUAAAGCCCUUUUGUUGGGAAAGAAAAGCAGCAGGUUAAUACCCCGCUGUUCUGACGGUACCCAAAGAAUAAGCACCGGCUAACUUCGUG